AGCAGUAGCCACGGUAAUACGAAGGGGGCUAGCGUUGUUCGGAAUUACUGGGCGUAAAGCGCACGUAGGCGGAUACUUAAGUCAGGGGUGAAAUCCCGCAGCUCAACUGCGGAACUGCCUUUGAUACUGGGUAUCUUGAGUAUGGAAGAGGUUAGUGGAAUUGCGAGUGUAGAGGUGAAAUUCGUAGAUAUUCGCAGGAACACCAGUGGCGAAGGCGGCUAACUGGUCCAUAACUGACGCUGAGGUGCGAAAGCGUGGGGAGCAAACAGGAUUAGAUACCCCCGUAGUCCCUGUCUCUUAUAC
rnacentral:rRNA from 1 species